AAGACUAUAGACCUGCGGAGUACCUGCGGAGGGAUCAUUACCGAGUUUACAACUCCCAAACCCAAUGUGAACGUUACCAAGCUGUUGCCUCGGCGGGAUCUCUGCCCCGGGUGCGUCGCAGCCCCGGACCAAGGCGCCCGCCGGAGGACCAACCAAAACUCUUUUGUAUACCCCCUCGCGGGUUUUUUAUAUCUGAGCCAUCUCGGCGCCUCUCGUAGGCGUUUCGAAAAUGAAUCAAAA
rnacentral:misc_RNA from 1 species